rnacentral:lncRNA from 1 species
CCUCUUCCAGAUUCAGUCUUCAUUGCCUCUCACAAUCAUGGUGUCCCAUACUCAAAUAGAAGCUAGUUUCCAUGUGCCUGAUUACCCAGAGGUGACCAGUUACCAACUCAUGCAUACUGGCAGCCUUUGCACUCCUUGUAGAUAGGAACUACUGGGAUCUUUCCAGGGAAAUACUAUUAUUUUAAAAUUUCUUCCUUUCUCUGGUAUUAUUGGAGGUGGCAGAGGGAACUCUCUUUCAUGAUUUUCUGGUAUUGACUGCCUUUUCACUUUUUUCUAGCUCAAUAAUACACCAAUCUCUUCUCGGCUGUCAUUUGCAGAAAUGACUGGAAAACAGUUUAUGGGGAAAAUACCUAGGGGUGAUAAUAAAUUGCAAAAUGAUAUGGAAGCAAAAAAGACUUGACAUUCUUCCACCCUCAACUCUCUGCAAUAAGUCAAGAAUCCCCUCUGCCUCUUCCAAUCCUGUGCUUCUUUGUUCUGAUGCUGAAGAACUUUUUCCAGUGGAUUGUGGCCAGAUAUGAAGAGGAAAUGGAUCUCAUUUUUGUGUCAUUUCUAAGACAGAAGAGCAAGAUCUUCGCAAACAGGAUUAAGGAUUUAACCAAGAAGAUAUUUGAGGCCAUAUUUGAAGCCAGAUCCUCCUGACUCCAGACUUGGCACUCCAUCCACUGUGCCACCUAGCUGCACCAGCAAUCAUUUAAGGACCUGCUAUGUUCCAGAUCAGGCAGGUGCUGAGUUCCCAUCUGCCUUCAGACGUUUGCUAGCUGUGUGACCCU